rnacentral:misc_RNA from 1 species
UGUGGGGCGUCCGAAAGGCCUGUGCUGAG